AUUUGAAAUCUGGCGCAAGCCCGAGUUGUAAUUUGUAGAGGAUGCUUCUGGGUAGCGGCCGGUCUAAGUUCCUUGGAACAGGACGUCAUAGAGGGUGAGAAUCCCGUAUGUGACUGGCUUGCACCCUCCACGUAGCUCCUUCGACGAGUCGAGUUGUUUGGGAAUGCAGCUCUAAAUGGGAGGUAAAUUUCUUCUAAAGCUAAAUACCGGCCAGAGACCGAUAGCGCACAAGUAGAGUGAUCGAAAGAUGAAAAGCACUUUGGAAAGAGAGUUAAAAAGCACGUGAAAUUGUUGAAAGGGAAGCGCCCGCAACCAGACUUUGCGGCAGUGUUCGGCCGGUCUUCUGACCGGUUUACUCGCUGUCGUGAGGCCAUCAUCGUCUGGGACCGCUGGAUAAGACCUUAGGAAUGUGGCUCCCCUCGGGGAGUGUUAUAGCCUCUGGUGAUGCAGCGCGUCUCGGGCGAGGUCCGCGCUUCGGCAAGGAUGAUGGCGUAAUGGUUGUAGGCGGCCCGUCUUGAAACACGGACCAAGGAGUCUAACAUCUAUGCGAGUGUUCGGGUGUCAAACCCCUACGCGUAAUGAAAGUGAACGGAGGUGGGAACUUUUUGUGCACCAUCGACCGAUCCUGAUGUCCUCAGAUGGAUUUGAGUAAGAGCAUAUCUGUUGGGACCCGAAAGAUGGUGAACUAUGCCUGUAUAGGGUGAUGCCGGA
rnacentral:rRNA from 1 species